AUGAACGCUGGCGGCGCGCCUAAUACAUGCAAGUCGAGCGAGAAGACGUAGCAAUACGUUUGUAAAGCGGCGAACGGGUGAGGAAUACAUGGGUAACCUACCCUCGAGUGGGGAAGUAACUAGCCGAAGGUUAGCUAAUACCGCGUACGCUUCUUGGACUUCGGUUCAGGGAGGAAAGACGAUGCCGAGGGUAUCGCGCUCUUGGAUGGGCUCAUGUCCUAUCAGCUUGUU
rnacentral:rRNA from 1 species